AUUAUACCCUAUAGGUUACGGAUGCUGGAAUGCCCUGUAACCGAAAGUUCCGACGCCUUAGGAUGGAUCUGCGGCCGAUUAGGUUGUUGUCGGGGUAAUGGCCCAACAAGCCAGUGAUCGGUACAGGUUGUGGGAGCAAGAGCCCGGAGUUGGAUUCUGAGACACGAAUCCAGGCCCUACGGGGCGCAGCAGGCGCGAAAACUUUACAAUGCGGGCAACCGUGAUAAGGGAACCUCGAGUGCCUGUAUAUGCAGGCUGUCCAGGUGUCUAAAACACACCUGAAGAAAGGGCCGGGCAAGACCGGUGCCAGCCGCCGCGGUAAUACCGGCGGCUCGAGUGGUGGCCACUUUUAUUGGGCUUAAAGCGUUCGUAGCUGGGUUGUUAAGUCUCUUGGGAAAUCCGGCAGCUUAACUGUCGGGCGUCUAAGGGAUACUGGUAAUCUUGGAACCGGGAGAGGUGAGGGGUACUUCGGGGGUAGGAGUGAAAUCCUGUAAUCCUCGAGGGACCACCUGUGGCGAAGGCGCCUCACCAGAACGGCUUCGACAGUGAGGGACGAAAGCUGGGGGAGCAAACCGGAUUAGAUACCCGGGUAGUCCCAGCCGUAAACGAUGUGCGUUAGGUGU
rnacentral:rRNA from 1 species